GGUGGCAGAGAAGUCCUGCCGAAACCUCAGGAAGCCUUGCUUAUGUGUGAAGCUUGCCGAGUACAGCAAUACCCUUUUACUGAAGACCAGGAAAUCCCCGAGACGGACUGGGAGGUGUACCUGAGGGAGACUGCAAAUGCUAUUGUCAGUCAGCAGACCCCACAGAGGCUCCUUGAAGUCCGGGGAAGGCUCUAUGAGCUCCUAACUCACUGUAUUCCUCCUGAGAUAAUAAUGAAGGUAAGUGGCCCCGUUUGACAUCUUGAACAUUCAUAACAUAAGCUGGACAUAACAUAAGCCAUGUGAUCACAGUGCUUUUGUAAUGCUAGGAGACACUACCAUCAUUUCUAGCAUUCGGUAAUUGAACAGAUUAAGUCUGUGUGUGCACUAUUAGUGGACCACAGAAGAUGGGAAGGAGGACCUUGGUUGUCAUCAUGUUCUUGGGGGUGACAUGGGAGACAAGAAUAUUUGAUAAUGUUACGAGUCUUUAAAGGAAGGAAAGUGAAAUAAUAAUAAUAAUAAUAAUAAUAAUAAUAAUAAUAAUAAUAAUAAUAAUAAUAAUGGAGCUGAGUUAUACACAGCCAUGAUGGCUGCUCAGGGAAAGGUCUUUUUCAGCUGACAGUCAGCACUAAAAAGAUGGAACUAUAAAAAUGGUUGGGGAACAAGAUGUUCUAGGAAAAACGUGUAUGUGGAGAGAUGAGGCUGAAGAUGUAGGUACAGUCUAGGCUUUAUAGUAUUGGUCUGCUGGCCACUUAGAUAAAUUUAUUGAUUUUAGAUACUAGGGAAUUCAUGGAGUUUGAUUCUAUUAAAAUUACACAGUAAUGUGAACAAACUCAAAUGAUAGCAAAUAGAGAAAGAACAGUGUGGUCUUUUCAAUAUACAGGAGCUAAUGCUUUGAGCAGACUUCUAUUUCACCUAGUAAGAAGUGCUGUGUGUGUGUGUGUGUGUGUGUGUGUGUGUGUAUGUGUGUGUGUAGUCUGCAGUCUGCUCACUGUACUGAAUUUUCAUUCAACAGUAUAGGAUAGGUGAUACCCCAUAGUGUG